UACGUAGGGGGCAAGCGUUGUCCGGAUUUACUGGGCGUAAAGAGCGCGUAGGCGGAAGCUUAAGUGUGGCCUGAAAGCCCCCGGCUCAACCGGGGAAAGUGGCUGCAAACUGGGCUUCUUGAGGGCGAUAGAGGAGAGCGGAAUUCCUGGUGUAGCGGUGAAAUGCGUAGAUAUCAGGAGGAACACCGGUGGCGAAGGCGGGUCUCUGGGCCGAUACUGACGCUGAGGAGCGAAAGCGUGGGGAGCGAACAGG
rnacentral:rRNA from 1 species